CAAUGAAUUUUUUUGUGAAAUAGUGACCUUGAACAAUAGUUUUAGUGUAUAGUCAAUGCUUUUGACUACUGGUCUGUAUUUACAACAUCAGUGAUUUAACUCAUGGCUAUGUUCUCUCCGACUCUUUGUAGGAAGGAAAUAUAAUCUGGAGAUUGAGUAAAAAAAAAGUCAGGUGAGAACUUUGGAAGCGCUGAUGCCUGAUGCUAUGAUUGAGAUCUAUAGCUAGUUUUGUUCAGGAUAUCAUUGAAUAUUGGGUUAACAACCGGAACCGUCGUUUUUAUUCUUUCCACAUCAAAUUAAAUUCAUGAAGAGGUUGUGAGGCAUAUAUUAAUGAUCUGGUUUCUUCCAUCCAUUUCGUGCACCAGAGUGUCUUUUGUCUUUGAGAAAGGUUAGAAACAUGCAUGUUAAUCUUGUUUACAUAUAUUGAUAUAUAGGAAGAGUAGUACGUUCCUGAAAAAAAAAAAGAAAAAAAAAUGUGCGUAAAGUGCAACUCAUGGCAAGAUCUCUUGGUACUUGAUACAAAGGUCCUUUAUGCAGGUGAUCGAUAAGAGAGUUGAGAAAACGGAAGAUAAAAAAAGGGUGUCC
rnacentral:lncRNA from 1 species